rnacentral:rRNA from 1 species
GAUGAACGCUGGCGGCGCGCCUAACACAUGCAAGUCGAACGAUUAAAGCACCUUCGGGUGUGUAUAAAGUGGCGAACGGCUGAGUAACACGUGGGCAACCUGCCCCUUUCAUUGGGAUAGCCACGGGAAACCGUGGAUAAUACCGAAUACUUCGAGACUUCCGCAUGGAAGACUCGAGAAAGCUCCGGCGGAGAGGGAUGGGCCCGCGGCCUGUUAGCUUGUUGGUGGGGUAACGGCCUACCAAGGCAAUGAGGGGUAGCUGGGUUGAGAGACCGACCAGCAAGAUUGGGACAGAGACAGGCCCCAGACUCCUGGGGGGGGCAGCGGGGGGGACUCUUGCACAGGGGGCGAAGGCCUGAGGCAGCGCCGCGGCGUGGGGGAGGAAGGCCUGGGGUUUUUAACCCCUUUCCGGCAGGGACGGGGGGAAGGAGAGGGUCCCUGAAGAAGAGCCCCGGGCAAACUACGUC